rnacentral:lncRNA from 1 species
AAAAAAAGAAGAGAAGGAAAAAGUUGCAAACGCAAAAUCAUUAAUGAAGUAAAGCAUAAUGUAUAUGUCAUAUUUUUUAAAAAUAUACUCGAACUUAGGUAUUUUGAUAGUGUGAGAGCCCAAUUUCGCCCGGGCCCAAACCAGACAAAAAAAAAGUUUCCAAAAAUAACAGUCCAUUUACAAUAUCGCCCAAUAUGGCCCAAAUCAGAAAAAUCCUAAUGGCCCGAUAAGCCCAAUAGCCUAAACAGCUUUUCAGAAAGAAAAAAAAAAGAAACCCUAGCCCCCUAGUGCCGCUGCUCCUCCCACGUCAGCACGCCACCACCGUUCUGCCACCAACUGCUCUGCCGCUCCUCAACCACUCCUGCAAAGAAGAAUAAACACGC